rnacentral:rRNA from 1 species
GAUGAACGCUGGCGGCGUGCCUAAUACAUGCAAGUCGAGCGAACAGACGAGGAGCUUGCUCCUCUGACGUUAGCGGCGGACGGGUGAGUAACACGUGGAUAACCUACCUAUAAGACUGGGAUAACUUCGGGAAACCGGAGCUAAUACCGGAUAAUAUAUUGAACCGCAUGGUUCAAUAGUGAAAGACGGUUUUGCUGUCACUUAUAGAUGGAUCCGCGCCGCAUUAGCUAGUUGGUAAGGUAACGGCUUACCAAGGCGACGAUGCGUAGCCGACCUGAGAGGGUGAUCGGCCACACUGGAACUGAGACACGCUCCAGACUCCUACGAGAGGCAGCAGUAGGGAAUCUUCCGCAAUGGGCGAAAGCCUGACGGAGCAACGCCGCGUGAGUGAUGAAGGUCUUCGGAUCGUAAAACUCUGUUAUUAGGGAAGAACAAAUGUGUAAGUAACUAUGCACGUCUUGACGGUACCUAAUCAGAAAGCCACGGCUAACUACGUG